UUUCCGCGAAACCUAUCUAAGUAGGCCAUUUAAAUAACAUCAUUGCAGGUACAGAAAUUUUUAGAUCUCAUUAAAAACUUACGUUAACUUCUUAUUAUUAAGUAUAUGAAGUAUUCGGGGAAUCGUGAAGAUUUUACUGGUGAGAAAUUAAUCUAGGAAUGGUAAUGAUGAAUGUUGAAUAAUCAGACAUAGAAUGCUAAGGUUGUAUGUCAAAAGGGAAACAGCCCACAACAAGUGUUAUAAUAAGGUUCCAAAAUUAUUAUUAAGUGAAAUCAAGGAAGUCUUUUGAUUUUAAUUCGAUCAGGAAAUAGGCUUAGAAGCAGCCAUUUUUUUGAAGACCUCGUAAUAGAGCACUGGUUAACAAUGUAAAAAGGCAUUGAAAAUUUAACGGAUCUAAAAUAAUAUACCGAAACCUUGUCUAUAGUUAUAAAUAUUUAUAUUGUAUAACUAUAGGGUAGCGGAACGUAGGGGAUAUAAAAGAAUUUGUUCUUUUUAAGAAAAAAUAAUAUAACUCUAGUG
rnacentral:ncRNA from 1 species